GAUGAACGCUAGCGGCAGGCCUAAUACAUGCAAGUCGAACGGGUGGUCGCAAGACCACUAGUGGCGCACGGGUGCGUAACGCGUAACCAACCUGCCCCGAUCUGGGGGAUAGCCCGCCGAAAGGCGGAUUAAUACCGCAUAUACCCGCAGCCUGGCAUCAGGCAACGGGGAAAGAUUUAUUGGAUCGGGAUGGGGUUGCGUGACAUUAGCUAGUUGGCGGGGUAAGGGCCCACCAAGGCGACGAUGUCUAGGGGACCUGAGAGGGUGAUCCCCCACACUGGCACUGAGAUACGGGCCAGACUCCUACGGGAGGCAGCAGUAGGGAAUAUUGGGCAAUGGGCGAGAGCCUGACCCAGCCAUGCCGCGUGCCGGAUGAAGGCCUUCUGGGUUGUAAACGGCUUUUCUCAGGGAAGAAAAAGACCUUGCGAGGUACACUGACGGAACCUGAGGAAUAAGCACCGGCUAACUCCGUG
rnacentral:rRNA from 1 species